rnacentral:lncRNA from 1 species
CUGGCGAUUUUUCUUACUAAAUUUUAAUGAUUGUCUGAUCUUUGAGAAAAUCCUCUUCAGUUUCAAUUAAAUGAAGGGAUAUUGAUAAGAAUGAUCUUGCUCCAGAUCAGUCAGUACCCAGGGUGCACAUAAGGGUUGCUCUAUCAUAGUGGUAAAGAGCACUGAUUUUGAAAUCACCAUGAGGUUUGAAGUUACCUCUGCCAUUUAUAUGAGUGACCUGGGGGAAACUUGUUGACUAUCCAAGCCUCAGUGGUGUCAUCUAUAAAAUGGGUGAUAGUAACAUCUAGCUCAUAAGAUUGAUACGAAGAUUGAGAUCAUACAUUUUAAGACCUUAGCACAUAGUAAAUGCUCAAUAAAUAGUAACAAUUCAUUCAACAAGUAUUUCCUCAGCACUGACCCUGUAUUUUGUAUUUGAAUUCCUUUGACACCUUGGAAGAACCUUUUAACACCAGUGUUAAAAGUGCUGUGAAGGGCUGGGCAUGUGGCUCAGUGGUGAAGCACUUGCACAGAUGUACAAGGCCCUGGGUUCAAUCCCCAGCACUAUGAAAGAGAGAAAGAGAGAGAGAGAGAGAGAGAGAGAGAGAGAGAGAGAGAGAGAGAGAGAGAAAGAGAAAGAGAAAGAAAAAGAAAGAAAGAAAGAAAGAAAGAAAGAAAGAAAGAAAGAAAGAAAGAAAGAAAAAAUGUGCUGUGAAUUACGUGGUGGGCAAGGGGAGUCUUCCUUUCAUAAAGUUUAUAAUCCAGUAGAGAAAAUAAGAAAAAGCAAAUAAGAAUUUACUCUUGGUUGUGGUUAGGGGUUUUUUUUUUUGUUGUUUGUUUGUUUGUUUGUUUUUAAAGGACAGAGUAAUAGGAUAAUUUAAG